rnacentral:tRNA from 1 species
GCCCUGGUAGUUUAGUGGCUAAAACACGGCCCUGUCGCGGCCGAGUCCCGAGUUCGAUUCUCGGUCAGGGCG